rnacentral:rRNA from 1 species
CAGAACGUCGUGAGACAGUUCGGUCCCUAUCCGUCGUGGGCGUAGGAAAUUUGAGAGGAGCUGUCCUUAGUACGAGAGGACCGGGAUGGACAUACCUCUGGUGUACCAGUUGUCGUGCCAACGGCAUAGCUGGGUAGCUAUGUAUGGACGGGAUAAGUGCUGAAAGCAUCUAAGCAUGAAGCCCCCCUCAAGAUGAGAUUUCCCAACUUCGGUUAUAAGAUCCCUCAAAGAUGAUGAGGUUAAUAGGUUCGAGGUGGAAGCGUAGCGAUACGUGGAGCUGACGAAUACUAAUCGAUCGAAGACUUAAUCAA